UAGGCAUGCAGUCGAACGUGUACCCCGCAAGGGGGAAAGUGGCGAAAGGGAGAGGAACACGUGGAUACCUACCCUCGGGUCUUGGAUAGCCGCGGGAAACUGCGGGUAAUACGAGAUAAUGUCUCCGGACCAAAGGUGUGAUUCCGUCCGAGGACGGGUCCGCGUCCUAUUAGCUAGUUGGCGGGGUAAUGGCCCACCAAGGCAAUGAUGGGUACGAGGCAUGAGAGUGUGCCCUCGCUCACUGGGACUGAGAUACUGCCCAGACACCUACGGGUGGCUGCAGUCGAGAAUCUUCCGCAAUGGGCGCAAGCCUGACGGAGCGACGCCGCGUGUGGGAUGAAGGCCUUCGGGUUGUAAACCACUGUCGUAGAGGAGGAACGGCCAUAAGGUUCUCUUUAUGGUUUGACCUAUUCUAGGAGGAAGGAUGGGCUAAGUCCGUGCCAGCAGCCGCGGUAAGACGGACCAUCCAAACGUUAUUCGGAAUUACUGGGCUUAAAGGGUGCGUAGGCGGCGCGGAAAGUUUGGUGUGAAAUCCCUCAGCUUAACUGAGGAAUGGCGCUGAAUACUACCGUGCUCGAGGAAGACAGAGGUAAGCGGAACAGCGGGUGGAGCGGUGAAAUGCGUUGAUAUCCGCUGGAACACCGGUGGCGAAAGCGGCUUACUGGGUCUUUUCUGACGCUGAGGCACGAAAGCUAGGGUAGCGAACGGGAUUAGAUACCCCGGUAGUCCUAGCCGUAAACGAUGAGCACUUGACGGGAGACUCCUCCAUAGGUUUCCGGUCGUAGCGAAAGUGAUAAGUGCUCCGCCUGG
rnacentral:rRNA from 1 species